GAUGUUGCACUCUCUGAAAUUGCUGACGAUGAUAGCAUCAAUUUACCUGGAAUUCGGGACGCCAGAAGAAGAAUGUUAACAAAUAAACUAUAAAUUAUUAGCCUACCAGCCAAUCAAAAAUGUGUAUGUAUAGUAUAAAUGCGAAGCAGUUUACCACCAAAUUAAGCAGAGAAACGUUUGUUCCCUGUACCAUUAUUGCAACUUCGAUUUCUAAAGAUGUACAUAAGAGCUUUGCUUGUUCUGGUGUGCCUCCUCUCGUUGAUGAUUGCGGACCACCCUGCCCAAAGUUUAGGUGCUUGUGGGACAUCUGAUGUUUGUUCAGGAUGCAUAUUGCAAUGCAAGGCGAAGGGAUACUGGACUGGCUCAUGCAGACAAAUGUUUAGUUGCCCAAAGGGAACAAAAUACCGAUGCAGUUGUUUGAGAAGACGUCAUUGAUGUAAAACAGAAACCCAAGAGCAAGAAGUGACAACUUAUGAAAUAAAUCGUUAGCAAUGCAGA